CUCCAAUAGCGUAUAUUAAAGUUGUUGCAGUUAAAAAGCUCGUAGUCUGAUUUUUGGGGGGCACGGCGCGUCCAGGCUAUUGGUCUGCGCACGGCGCUGUGUCUGCCAUUACCUUCGGAGGAGGCGUAGUGCUAUUAGUUUAGUGGUGCGUUUAUUCCGAUAGUUUACUUUGAGAAAAAUAGAGUGUUCAAAGCAGGCGAUUGCCUUGAAUACAUUAGCAUGGGAUAAUGAAAUAGGACGUUGGUUCUAUUUUGAUGGUUUACGGACCGACGUAAUGAUUAAUAGGGACAGUUGGGGACAUUUGUAUUCCAUGGCUAGAGGUGAAAUUCUUGGAUUCAUGGAAGACAAACUACUGCGAAAGCAUUUGUCAAAGAUGUUUUCAUUGAUCAAGAACGAAAGUUAGGGGAGCAAAGACGAUCAGAUACCGUCGUAGUCUUAACCAUAAACGAUGCCGACUAGGGAUCGGUGGGCGUUAGUUUGAUGACUCCAUCGGCACCUCAUGGGAAACCAAAGUCUUUGGGUUCCGGGGGGAGUAUGGUCGCAAGGCUGAAA
rnacentral:rRNA from 1 species